UACGUAGGGUGCGAGCGUUAAUCGGAAUUACUGGGCGUAAAGCGUGCGCAGGCGGUUUUGUAAGCCAGAUGUGAAAUCCCCGGGCUUAACCUGGGAAUGGCAUUUGGGACUGCAAGGCUCGAGUGCGGCAGAGGAGACUGGAAUUCCUGGUGUAGCAGUGAAAUGCGUAGAUAUCGGGAGGAACACCAAUGGCGAAGGCAGCUCGCUGGGACGGUACUGACGCUGAGACGCGAAAGCGUGGGGAGCAAACAGG
rnacentral:rRNA from 1 species